rnacentral:lncRNA from 1 species
UGAUAAAUAAAAUAUUCUUCUUAGCCAAAUUUUACCAUGAUCAUAGAAGUCUUCCUUAUUCGUAAUAUCCUUAAGUAAUUAUUUGAUUAUCUUCUUUCUAUUAUCUUCGUCAAUCAAAACAACUAUUUCCUUCUAAUAACUUUCAAUAAAUUCAAGAUUGCUAUCGCAUCAUAUCCAAAUUAAAAUUUUAAAAUAAAUCCAAUGCUUAAAACAAUAUAAUAUAACCAAUCUAUAUUAUUCAAAAUAUAUAUUUCUUCCUAUAUUAAUUGUUUAACCUCGAUG